rnacentral:rRNA from 1 species
GAUGAACGCUGACAGAAUGCUUAACACAUGCAAGUCGAUGGGGAAGUGGUGCUUGCACCAUGGUAACCAUGGCGGACGGGUGAGUAACGCGUAAGGAACUUGCCUGCGGGACUGGGAUAACAGCAGGAAACUGCUGAUAAUACCGGAUAAGGUCAUUAAGCUGCAUAGCUUAGUGAUGAAAGGAGACGCCUGCGGAGAGCCUUGCGUCCUAUUAGCUAGUUGGAGGGGUAACGGCCCACCAAGGCGAAGAUAGGUAGCCGGCCUGAGAGGGUGGACGGCCACAAGGGGACUGAGAUACGGCCCUUACUCCUACGGGAGGCAGCAGUGGGGAAUAUUGGACAAUGGGGGCAACCCUGAUCCAGCAAUUCCGUGUGCACGAAGACGGUUUUCGGAUUGUAAAGUGCUUUCAGCAGGGAAGAAGGAAGUGACGGUACCUGCAGAAGAAGCGACGGCUAAAUACGUG